CAAAACCCCCAUGAGCAACUGGUGGCGCUUGAUUUAUGCGUGGAAAUGAUUUAUUUAUUCAAGCAGAGGCGGUGAGAUCAUUAACCUCCGCCGGGUCCCCGGAGAGUGACCCCUGCGACCCCACCACGCCGCUCAGACGACUACAAAAAAAGAGACCCCCCCCUACCCCACCCCAUGCAUCUCCCAGUGGGCCACGCUUGGGCGGGGGCGCUUUUUUCAUCAAAUGAAGCAGGACUGGAAUAGAACUUCGCUUCAAGGACGUGAGGACGUGACCAAGCGGGUCGUUUGUCUGCUUCAGCGCUCCAAGGGUCGUUAAUGUCGGAAAUGAACAUUCAAAAGAGUUGAAUUUAACUUCUACCCCCUCAUUUUUUUAACGGUACCGCUUUGGGCCUUCUACAUUUUCCAAAAAUUGGAACAUUGUCAAUUUCAGCACGAUCCUGCUUUGCUGGGUUGUGUAUAAAAUGCGAAAGGUGACUAAACUGCAGCUCUGAUGUGCCAAUUUUGCAGGAACUCUGCGUGAAAGUGUCUCUGGUGUGGUUUCCAGGGGCUUCCGAGCGGAUGAUUCCAGGCCGGCCCGCUGAUCCUCGGUGAUUCCUCGCUCUCUGUGAACUCGCCGCUUUGAUCGACUUCGGGGGGUCUCAAGGUCGCGGAAGAAUGCAAUUCUGAGGCGGGAAUCCCAGGGUGUUAUCGGCGUGACCUUCAGGGCUGCUGAUAAGUUUGUGACGCCACAAAUGCGACAAUCCUUCCACUCUGCUGUUGCCGUUUGUUGGAAUUGUUUGAAACGCGUGUCUGUUUGUGUCCUUUGAUGGUUUUUGUACUUUUGAAAUAUUUUGGGUGUGAUGUAAAACUAUCUGUCACAGUUCCUUCUAUUGAAAGCCGGGGCAAACUGGUCGCCCACAAUUUAUUGAUUAUACUGUUGAAUGGGCACGGUGGACGACUGGUUAGCACAUCUGCCUCACAGUUCUGAGGACCGGGGUUCAAUCCCCGGCCCCGCCUGUGUGGAGUUUGCAAGUUAUUUUCAAAGUAACCUUGCACCAUUGAAAUAAGAAGAGCGACUAGAAAUAAGCCCAAAAGUCCAAAACAAGUCCACGGCCCGCUUGGUCACAUGCUAAAUGUAAUUGCCGUAUAAUUCAAGAUGAAUAAAUUCUCAACAAUUGUUAUUGAAAACCACCUCUAUGCGCAAUAGAAAUCAACAAAACGACUACAAAUACUGCGCAAAAUGGGUGAAGUUGCUUGUUACAGCUUUGGCAUAUUGCUAAUGUCGUCUUACAAGUACAGCGGUGCCUUGAGAUAUGAGGCUAAUAUGUUCCGUCAUCGUGCCCUUAAGUCAAGACGGCCAUUGAAAUUAAUGGCAAUGCCGUUAAUCCAGCCUUCCGAAAAACACAAGAAAAACAUUUUUACGUAUUUUUUUU